GACGAACGCUGGCGGCGUGCCUAAGACAUGCAAGUCGAGCGGGGUUCACGAGGUGGCUUGCCACUGAGUGGGCCUAGCGGCGGACGGGUGAGUAACACGUGGGGAACCUUCCCUGCUGACUGGGAUAACACCUCGAAAGGGGUGCUAAUACCGGAUACGUUCAUUCAGUCGCAUGAUUGGAAGAAGGAAGGCGGUGAGAGCCGCUGCAGGAGGAGGGGCCCGCGGCCCAUUAGCUAGUUGGUGAGGUAACGGCCCACCAAGGCGACGAUGGGUAGCCGGCCUGAGAGGGCGGUCGGCCACACUGGGACUGAGACACGGCCCAGACUCCUACGGGAGGCAGCAUG
rnacentral:rRNA from 1 species